rnacentral:rRNA from 1 species
UGGGGAAUAUUGCACAAUGGGGGAAACCCUGAUGCAGCAACGCCGCGUGAGUGAUGAAGGUCUUCGGAUUGUAAAACUCUGUCUUCAGGGACGAUAAUGACGGUACCUGAGGAGGAAGCCACGGCUAACUACGUGCCAGCAGCCGCGGUAAUACGUAGGUGGCAAGCGUUGUCCGGAUUUACUGGGCGUAAAGGGAGCGUAGGUGGAUAUUUAAGUGGGAUGUGAAAUACUCGGGCUUAACCUGAGUGCUGCAUUCCAAACUGGAUAUCUAGAGUGCAGGAGAGGAAAGUAGAAUUCCUAGUGUAGCGGUGAAAUGCGUAGAGAUUAGGAAGAAUACCAGCGGCGAAGGCGACUUUCUGGACUGUAACUGACACUGAGGCUCGAAAGCGUGGGGAGCAAACAG